GCAGUCAAAAAUUUAUAUUUAAUACAACCUAAACACACCACAACUACUUUCCCAAUUCUCUCUCUGACUCUCUACAUUGUCUCUCUAUUAAGUUAGGAUUGACACGGUAGAGUGAUAACAGCGUUCUUUCUCAAAAAUUAGCGACGGUGGAGUGGUAACGGCGACGGUGAAUGACGAUAUUGAAGGUAUAAUUUUGCUGAACAAUGGUAUUGAAGACCAAUCAAGAAGUUUCGAUCUUUAUACAUCUUCACUGAUUCGAGACGGAAAAUGAAGAUCGUACAUGGAUGUAUAAUAGACUUUAUCCUAACCGUGUAGGGUUGAGGGAGGAAUAUAAAGCUGCGGUAGCUGGAUUCAUUGCUAAAGUAACGACACUUAAUGAUUUUCUUACUGAAGGGACAAUUAGGUGUCCUUGUUGGAAUUGCAAGUGUUGAAAGUUAUUGAGUCCAGAUAUCGUUACAUUACAUUGUUAUAAGAAGGGUUUUAUGUUGAA